rnacentral:tRNA from 1 species
UGCGGGGUAGAGCAGAGGCAGCUCGUCGGGCUCAUAACCCGGAGGUCGUAGGUUCGAAUCCUGCCCCCGCUACUA